rnacentral:rRNA from 1 species
GGGGGGGUAACGGAGACUAUACAUGCAGUCGAGGGGCAGCAAUCACUUCGGUGAGUUGGCGACCGGCGCACGGGUGCCUAUCGCGUAUGCAACCUACCCUAUACUGGAGGAUAGCCCGGGGAAACCCGGAUUAAUACUCCAUAGUAUUCAGACAACUCAUGUUGUCAUAAUUAAAGAUUUAUCGGUAUAGGAUGGGCAUGCGUCUGAUUAGUUUGUUGGUGAGGUAACGGCUCACCAAGACGAUGAUCAGUAGGGGGUCUGAGAGGAUGAUCCCCCACACUGGCACUGAGAUACGGGCCAGACUCCUACGGGAGGCAGCAGUAGGGAAUAUUGGUCAAUGGGCGAGAGCCUGAACCAGCCAUGCCGCGUGCAGGAUGACGGCCUUCUGGGUUGUAAACUGCUUUUAUAUGGGAAGAAAAAGUCCUUGCGAGGAAAAUUGCCGGUACCAUAUGAAUAAGCACCGGCUAACUCCGUGCCAGCAGCCGCGGUAAUACGGAGGGUGCAAGCGUUGUCCGGAUUUAUUGGGUUUAAAGGGUACGUAGGCGGAUCUUUAAGUCCGUGGUGAAAGCCUGCAGCUUAACUGUAGAAAUGCCAUGGAUACUGGAGAUCUUGAGUUCAGUUGAGGUAAGCGGAAUUUAUGAUGUAGCGGUGAAAUGCAUAGAUAUCAUAAAGAACACCUAUUGCGAAGGCAGCUUGCUGGACUUGGACUGACGCUAAGGUACGAAAGCGUGGGGAGCGAACAAGAUUAGAUACCCUGGUAGUCCACGCCCGUAACGAUGAUUACUCGCUGCUGGCGAUACACUGUCAGUGGCCAAGCGAAAGCGUUAAGUAAUCCACCUGGGGAGUACGCUCGCAGGAGUGAAACUCAAAUGAAUUGACC